AGAAUGGACUUUUCAUCCAUGUGGCUGUGAUCAUUUCCUAAAGCAGAGGAAUCUGCAGCCUAAUGACACAUCAGGAAUUGAUGGAGCUCCAGUGGACAGCUUCCAUGAGCAGAUUAGGACUUUCAGAAGAGACACAAGAGGCAUGGCCACACAGAGAUAAAGAUCAUGUGGGGACUAAGUGAAAAGGCAGCCAUCAUAAGCCACAGAGAGAGGACUCAGAAGAAACCAACUCUGCUGACACCUUCAUCUUGAAAGUCUAGCCUCUAGAACUGUGAAAAAAUAAAUACCUGCUGGUAAAAUACCUGGACUGUGGUAUUUUGUUAGGACAGCCCUAGCUAACUAACACAAUUUUAUACACUAAAUAAAGUCCAAUUCAAUUUUAAUUUUGUAGAAAUGGAAAUAAAUAAUUUAAAGAUUUACUUAGUAAAUUACUUCAGAUUGGGAUCAAAUAUAUACAUGAUAUAUGAAAAUGUAAGAAAUGGAUAUUUAAAUAAGUAUACCAGUACAUAAAAAUUCUAGUGCCUGUUUUUGUUCUUUUUUUUUUGAAAGCCACUUAUCCCAACAAUAAAACUGAUGCUCAAAAUA